rnacentral:rRNA from 1 species
AAACUUUCAACAACGGAUCUCUUGGUUCUGGCAUCGAUGAAGAACGCAGCGAAAUGCGAUAAGUAAUGUGAAUUGCAGAAUUCAGUGAAUCAUCAAAUCUUUGAACGCACAUUGCA